UUUUCUAAGAUUGUAGGGAAUUGAGUUUUAUAAGAUUUGGUGUAACUAUUUGACUUACCUGGAUGUAAGCUGAUCUGCUUUGGGCCCCAUAUAAUUGCAUGUGACACCAAAUGGGAAAAGAGGAUGAAUAUUCUCCUUCCCCUCCCUUGGCGUGAAACUCAGCGGAAUUUUGACACUGUGACAGAAUUUUGACGCUGUGACAGAAUUUUGACAUUGUGACAGAAUUUUGACAUUGUGAUGAUGGAGUCCAGGCAGGUCACAGGUGCUGCACUUGAAUGGGGGAUAAUUGAUAAGUGUGAAUGAGAGGAGUAGCAGGAAGAGGAUGAUUUGCCAUUUUGCAAAAAGUCGAUCUUAUUUUCACAAUCCAAAUAGAAGGAUAAAAACUGCAUUUCUUCUUUAUCAUGAGAAAUAACAAUGAAAUUCUAAGCCUCCCAGCUGACUGAACAGACCCCUUUUUGGCCAAGGGGACCCAGAGAAACCUUGAAAACUGACUUCUCAGGCAUGAUGGGAUGGGAGCUUAGAUGUGCCUCGUUAUACCCCUUCCUUUGCAAACUGCUGUUAAGCUUUCUUCCCUAAGGGAAAAACAGAAACCAGCCCUUUCAAAAGACUUUACCAAUGGUGUCAACCAACUGCUGGAUACUGGUCGUCCACCCUUUUGUAGUUUCAACAAAACAACAAACCACAUUCCUUCUGAUAGGAGUCCACCAACCAUGGAGUGGCUCUGGCCAGUCUACGAAGAAUGUGUGAUGAGGGUUUUCAUGUUCUCUGCUUCACCUUUUGCCAUCAGAGAGCUGAAAACUCUAUGUUGGGGUCACGCAUUUGCAGCUGUUUAUAUUCGUGAAGGGACAUGAGACUCAACUGUGCAUGCACACAUUUCUCUUUUCAUAAAUAUACAUGGCUACCACAGCUUACCAACUAUAUGUGUGUGUGUGUGCAUUAACUAGAGAAACAGGUACCAGAUUUACCCUUUUAUCUGGAACAACUGCAAAAACUUAAAGGCAAACAGUAUGAAAACAACAGUUUAAGGCACAAGCCAUCCGACAAUGAAGGGUGAUGAAUCCUGAGAGACUGGAAAUGAAGGAUCUGAACUAUUUGGUUUCCCAAACUCACUGCCUUCAGAGUUUUCAGGCUGCAGCACAAAGAAGGGGGAACCCAGGCAGAGCCCAGUGGAUUCCCUGAUGCCAUUUUAUCAUUGUUCCUUCUGAGCCUGAGUGUUCUUUCUCUUGAAGAUUCAAGUGAACCAGGGCAGGAGAAUGACAUCAGACUGGGCUUGUGCCUGAUAAUUCAUUUCUGAAUGCUUCAAGAUUGAUGCAUCAGAUUUGCACAAUGUGCCGCUUUAGGAGAUUAUUUCUUCCUUCCUUCAGCCAGACAGAAGACUGCAGUAAUCUUUUAAUUCUUUCCCCCGCUUAGGCAUGACUUUGAAGAACCUGAAGAUGUGAAAAUGAAAUGGAUACUGUGCUCCUUUUGGCUAGGAUUUGAUGGCAGAGACAGCAACAGACAGCUUGCCGGCAAUAACAGAGAAAUAGAGGCCACCAUCUGUGUGAAUACUUCACUGUGAUUAUCUCUCACCAUCAUCAAAUAGUUCAGAGCACUGAUCCUCACGAGUUGGACAUUUCCCCAUGAAACAGUAGCCUUCUGAGUUCUUGCAAGGAAAUCCAUUGACCCUGAACUGGUCCUUAGGACAAGCAGGCGAGUGGCCAGUGCACAUCUCAGGAAAAUCACAUUCAUCUUUCACCGGUCUGCAUAUGGACCCUGCUUUUUUUAUCUGUUGAGGAAAAAAAAGAGACUAAAUCCUGGAUACAUUUAGGAUCCAGUACAUACCCUGCCUACCCCUUACCCACUUCGAAUUGGGAACCCCUGCUUAUAAUGAAGAAAUCUCCAGUCCCAAUAAAUCAGAUUCCUGCAUAUGAACUGGAGAAAAAUACCCUUGCUUUCACUGCUGGAGGGAACUGCAUAGAGAUAUUCUCUCAUUCAGCCAUUCAAUAUGAAUUUAAUUACGCUGGGUUCUGGAUGAAUUCGAAGAUGCAUAAGAUAUGUUUGUUUUCUUUGUGAAUUCACAAUAAAGUUGGGUGAAAGAAGUGUCAAUAAA
rnacentral:lncRNA from 1 species